rnacentral:sRNA from 1 species
UACAUAACGUCAGAUUUGGGACUGC